GGAGGGAUGCCAGAGUGGUUUAAUGGGGCAGUCUUGAAAACUGCUGUGGGUUCACGCCUACCGGGGGUUCGAAUCCCUCUCCCUCCG
rnacentral:tRNA from 1 species